rnacentral:other from 1 species
UGUUCUCUGGGUUGUUAGUGAUUAGGUAGAUGUCCCUGAGCCGAUAAUUGUUUUUUUAAAGGGGCUCUUUUUUGUUGCUUUUGUGCAGGCUCGGCCCGUACCGAGAAGCCUACGGUGACAACUGACUCCCGCCUUGAACCUUAGGUUCAAGGGCUAAUACCUGACACGGCAAUUCGGAGAACAA